GACGAACGCUGGCGGCGUGCCUAAUACGUGCAAGUCGAACGCUUCUUUCCUCCCGAGUGCUUGCACUCAAUUGGAAAGAGGAGUGGCGGACGGGUGAGUAACACGUGGGUAACCUACCCAUCAGAGGGGGAUAACACUUGGAAACAGGUGCUAAUACCGCAUAACAGUUUAUGCCGCAUGGCAUAAGAGUGAAAGGCGCUUUCGGGUGUCGCUGAUGGAUGGACCCGCGGUGCAUUAGCUAGUUGGUGAGGUAACGGCUCACCAAGGCCACGAUGCAUAGCCGACCUGAGAGGGUGAUCGGCCACACUGGGACUGAGACACGGCCCAGACUCCUACGGGAGGCAGCAGUAGGGAAUCUUCGGCAAUGGACGAAAGUCUGACCGAGCAACGCCGCGUGAGUGAAGAAGGUUUUCGGAUCGUAAAACUCUGUUGUUAGAGAAGAACAAGGACGUUAGUAACUGAACGUCCCCUGACGGUAUCUAACCAGAAAGCCACGGCUAACUACGUG
rnacentral:rRNA from 1 species